rnacentral:tRNA from 1 species
CAGAGUGUAGCUAAAUAGCAAAGCAUCUCCCUUACACCGAGGAAACGUCCGUGCAAAUCGGACCACCCUGA